ensembl:snRNA U6 U6 spliceosomal RNA
GUGCUCGCUUUGGCAACACACACACUAAAACUGGGACGAUAGAGAGGACUAGCACGGCCCCUGCAGAAGGGUGACAUUCAAAUUCAUGAAGUGUUCCAUAUUUUU